rnacentral:rRNA from 1 species
GAUGAACGCUGGCGGCGUGCUUAACACAUGCAAGUCGAACGGAAAGGCCAGUGCUUGCCCUGGUACUCGAGUGGCGAACGGGUGAGUAACACGUGGGUGAUCUGCCCUGCACUUCGGGAUAAGCCUGGGAAACUGGGUCUAAUACCGGAUAGGACAAUGGUUUGGAUGCCGUUGUGGAAAGUUUUUUCGGUGUGGGAUGAGCUCGCGGCCUAUCAGCUUGUUGGUGGGGUAAUGGCCUACCAAGGCGUCGACGGGUAGCCGGCCUGAGAGGGUGUACGGCCGCAUUGGGACUGAGAUACAGGCCGGACUCCUACGGGAGGCAGCAGUGGGGAAUAUUGCACAAUGGGCGCAAGCCUGAUGCAGCGACGCCGCGUGGGGGAUGACGGCCUUCGGGUUGUAGACUCCUUUCGCUAGGGACGAAGCGUAUUUGUGACGGUACCUGGAGAAGAAGCACCGGCUAACUACGUG